UACGUAGGGGGCAAGCGUUGUCCGGAAUUAUUGGGCGUAAAGAGCGUGUAGGCGGCCAGAUAAGUCCGCUGUGAAAUCUCGAGGCUCAACUUCGAGCUGUCGGUGGAAACUGUCUGGCUAGAGUCCGGAAGAGGAGAAUGGAAUUCCUGGUGUAGCGGUGAAAUGCGCAGAUAUCAGGAAGAACACCCGUGGCGAAGGCGGCUCUCUGGACCACAACUGACGCUGAGGCGCGAAAGCUAGGGGAGCAAACAGG
rnacentral:rRNA from 1 species